UGCUCUAACGGAAUAUAAACCAUGUCUUGCACAGUUCACCAAGGAGACAGGGAACAGCAACUACUAGAAAAGCUCUGAGAGCACCAGUACUCAGGAAUUAUUUUUUAAAUGGAUAACUAGUGCACUAGACACUUCGAAUUUUAUGUACACGUCACCCGUAUAGUUGCCGUAGUUCACUCAAUAUGUGAAAUCCCUGCUAUUUUUUUAUUCGCAGGAAAAUAAGAACAUGCAUUUUUUUUUUUUUUUGACGCGCACAUAAACAAACAUGAUAGCAAAUAAAGCAAUAGCCGUUUGUUUGAGGAAUUAAAUUGCGCGCGUACAUAUUGCUAGAACGAAAAAGAAAGAGCGCAAAUUUCAAAAACGCUUAAUAACUUUUCUAAACGGCAGUUCGAGCGCACCGCGAAGGUGUUUAUGCGAAAGGUUAUCUCACUGAUCUCCACUAGGGGGUUGGUUAUCUACACACAGAAAAAAAAAACAAGAAUAUUUAGAAUUUGAAAUGGUUCAGUCUUAUUUUCGCUUGCGAAAGAGCGAGUGAAAAUGUGUUUUAGUGGGUGGAAACGUACGAUAAGAUCUCGUACCUACGUUCGGCUCUAUCAACUUAUGAAUCUAACGCCGUCUCUUCGUAUCUCCUGAAAAUGUACAUGAAGUACGCAAUGCUGAAUCAUUGUUAAAAAAAAAGAAAAAAAAUGCGCCCGAACGGGGGCUCGAACCCCGGACCGUUAGGUUAAAAGCCUAACGCUCUACCGACUGAGCUAUCCGGGCGCUCGGAAAUGGCGCCUCAAAAGCCGUUCUUAAACUAUACCUCUACCACUUGAAUGCGGACGUUCUAAGUUUGCAUAGGUUUCGUGUGGGUCAAAGUGCGCUCCUAACGCUAAGCCGCGCGGAUACGCGAUCAAUUCUUAGCUUUUUGAGUUGUUAGAAGUGUUUCCUUGUUUUAUUUUCGCCGACUCUUGCGGGACAAGUUCAAAUGAAACCGUGGUAUGCUCCGCCACGACGGAAACUACUCGGGCAAGCCUUUUUCAACUGCAAUUCUCCAGUCACAAAAAUAUCCGAAACGAUUAUGCCUUUCCCGCCACAAAACAUUCACUGACUGACUUAUGGCCGAUCCCCCAGAGCGGGUUGCGCCAUUUCACUCGAGAACAAGGCCAAGAUCGACACGCUGAUUACUUUGUUACGAUGUUAUUAGCUUAUUAGACGAUACGAAACGGGGCUAACGCAGUGUUCUCUGUGUGUCUUCGCAGUGUGGAGACACGUUCACGUCAUGCACGGCAACAGCUGGUCAAACGGAUCCUGUCGAUGUACUUCGUUCUUUGGAUCUAUACGAAGACCAAACCGUUCGUGAAAUUGGUUUUCAAAUGCCAUAGUGUUGGACUUCCUCAAUCUCAUCAAAUGGUUGUAUUGCGAGCCCCAAGUCUCGGAAUGCUUUAAUGUGGGGGUGUGUGGGAGCAACCGACUAGGUCGCGAGUCAAGGCUCUUGAGCAGAACAGGCUAACCAAGUACGCCUACUAGAGAAAGUCCGCAAAGUAGUACAGUCCGAAAUGAAAGAAUAGGAAUCGCUCUGCGACUCGCUCAAACAAAACCCAGUAAAGGUGCUCACAAACGUGUACCUUCUCUGCACGCCGCGACACCAGUAGGGCUACGCGCAUGACAACACCAGGAUAAAAGCUGUCAACUGGUAGAAGGACAAGGGAUAAGAGCGGGCUGCAUGUUCUGAGAAAGGAGGAGGAGAUUAAUGUGCACCACUGAUUCUCCCCUAAAGCUUUUCUUUCAGUCGGUGUCAUGGGUAGGACUAUCAGUGACGGACAAUAAAGACCCAUUCACCUUUUGG